GAUGAACGCUGGCGGCGUGCCUAAUACAUGCAAGUCGAGCGAACAGACCAGGAGCUUGCUCCUCUGACGUUAGCGGCGGACGGGUGAGUAACACGUGGAUACCCUACCUAUUAGACGGGGAAAAUCUCGGGAAACCGGAUCUAAUACCGGAUAAUAUAUUGAACCGCAGGGUACACUAGUGAAAGACGGUUUUGCUGUAACUUAUAGAUGGCUCCGCGCCGCAUUAGCUAGUAGGUAAGUUAACGGCUUACCAAGGCAACGAUGCGUAGCCGACCUGAGAGGGUGAUCGGCCACACUGGAACUGAGACACGGUCCAGACUCCUACGGGAGGCAGCAGUAGGGAAUCUUCCGCAAUGGGCGAAAGCCUGACGGAGCAACGCCGCGUGAGUGACGAAGGUCUUCGGAUCGUAAAACUCUGUUAUUAGGGAAGAACAAAUGUGUAAGUAACUAUGCACGUCUUGACGGUACCUAGUCAGAAAGCCACGGCUAACUACGUG
rnacentral:rRNA from 1 species